UGUCAUUGGUGCAGUGGACUGCACACACAUAAGGAUAAAAGCCCCCUCAGGUGCCCAUGAGGCCGAUUUUGUGAAUAGGAAAUCCUUUCACAGCAUUAAUGUUCAGAUGGUCUGCAAUGCUGACUGUGUGAUCAGCAAUGUUGUGGCAAAAUGGCCUGGCUCAGUCCAUGACUCCAGAAUCUUUCGGGCCUCUGAAAUCUAUCAGUGCCUAUCACAAGGUGAAUUCUCUGGUGUGUUGCUGGGAGACAGGGGGUAUGGCUGCCAGCCUUUUCUCCUGACACCUUUCACAGACCCCCAGGAAGCACAGCAGGCCUACAACCAUGCCCAUGCCAGGACCAGGGCCAGAGUUGAAAUGACCUUUGGCCUCCUGAAGGCACGCUUUCACUGCCUUCACAAAUUAAGGGUCAGCCCUGUUAGGGCAUGUGAUAUUACUGUGGCUUGUGCUGUCCUCCACAAUGUGGCCUGCCUGAGGAAGGAGAGGGCCCCCAGAGUGCCACCAGCCAUGGACUGGGACAAUCCGGCAAUCUUCCCUGAUGACGACAGUGGUCGGCUGCUGAGGGACCAAUAUGUGUUGAAUUAUUUUAGUUAGUAUGUGUGCUUUCAAUUUUGGUUAAAUAUGUCCUGCGGUGGCAGAGGAAUUUGGUUUUUUUGGGUUCGUUUUUUGAUGAAUUUGGCCUCUUAUGAUGUUUGUGCGGUAUACUGUGUGUAAUACAAUGCUGCAGGAAGGCUACUGCAUCCAUUCAUUUGUCUGUUCAGUUGAUGUGUAUGGAUUUGUCCUGCAUUUAUUUUAGUGUGCAGACAU